rnacentral:lncRNA from 1 species
CUUUGCUCAAUUUUAUUACUCAAAAGUUUCUUAUUUUCUCAGAAAAACAAAAUCUCUGAUGCUUAAGAUCAACCCUGCCUCCUCUUAAAGUUGCCUUUGUCUUUUACUGGCUAUAGCUAAAGAGUACCAAAUUUUAUCUUCUCCAAAAUUAGGCUUUGCACAUCCGAGGCCCAUUUCUCAUUGGCUGAGUGAUACCUUGGGUAUUUAAAUAAUCAUUCGAUUAUUCCUGUUCUCCACAUCUAGAUGCUGCUAGAAAAGUGCUCACACUCUGUUAUCCAGCAUUCCCCCUCUUCGAAAACAAAGCAGAAAGGACUUACAGUCCGUUAUACAAGUCGUUUCACGAAGGACAGUGAACUGGAGUAAGUGGAUUUAAAUUACUUUCGAGUUUGGAAGAUUAUUCUUAACACUGCUUGAGAAACAUGUUUUUCUCUUCCAAGUCUGGAACUGAAUGCUGUCCAUGAACUGACUCGACAACAGCAAAAUACAGUGACCGAGCAAGCUAGAUUUCCUGUCAACUCUCAGUCACAAUCUGAUUGCUCUUUUUCUGUGUCAUUUCUUGGUUCUCCGCCAUUUUCGGGCAUCCCUAUCCUACUCUGGUCUGUUCUUCACUGACAGGUGAAUUAUGUGGGCUGUGACCUGUGUCUUUUUUGUUAACGGCUACAUCCAUAGCACCUAGAACUGCCGUGGGUCUUAACUGCGUGGAGUGGAUUAAAGAGCCAGCUUUCACAAUCUGUUCAUGCAGCCAACGACUGAUAUAACACCACCCCUUAUGACCAGAGUCUUUAGAAGAAGAAGGGCAUUUGGACACAGACACAAGAAAGGACGCUUGUGAGACUUGUGUGAGGUAUGUCCUACAAGCUAAGGGAUGUCUAGGUCUGCCAUAACUGAAAGAGGCAAGGAGAAUCCUUUCCUGGAGGCUGUGGAAGAAUCAGGGCCCUGCCUUCUUUGUACUUUGUACGUCUAAUCUCCAAAUCUUGAGAGUAUACAAGUCAGUGGUACUUUGCAAGUGUUGGGAAUAUAUGACUGCAUACAGUAAGUACAGUUUUCAAGGGACAAGGAUUUGGCACAAGUGCGCUUUUGUGUUCUUGUACCCACAGAUGUAGCUCUGUUGAAGGAAAGAUGUGCCGUUUGUUGGCGAAAUCUUGUAAACAAAAUACUUCCAAGAUAGUGGAGGAGAGAAAGAGGCCGUGUCUCUUUCUUUGAUCGUGAUCUUGACUGAGGAACCUAUGACCAAGCAUUGUACAAAACAUGCGAGUGUUCUCUGGCUGCUGGCUGGGAAACAAUUAACUACCUUGUGUGGUUUCGAGACCCUCCGCUCUUGGAGAGCUGAGGCCCCUUUGACUUGAUGUUGGAGAAGUGGGAGUCACUCCAGACUGCCAGGAACAAACCAUUACUAGCAAGCCAGGUGAAAAAAAUAUCCACGUUGGCUGACAGGCAGGAUUGGGAGCUGUCAGUCUGGGGCUCACAGAACAAUAAUUAUUUCCAUCACAAAGACCAGCUGCCAGUAGACUCCUUGGAACUGGAUCAGCCUCUUGAACUGGGAGGUGCCUGCAUGUGGUGCCCCAACUUCCAUCUGUCUUUCCAGCAUGUGUCAGUUUUCAGUGGCCAUUUUUCUGCUCCUGGUCUUCUCGUCCCCCACUUCCUGCCGUUCUCAGUGUUCCCUUCAAAGAAUACCCUCUUUCUCUUAUACUCCAAUCUUGCUUUUCCUUCAAGAAUCAGACUGGCCACUAUCAUUAAGCCUUUCGCCAUCAGCUCCCUCUUCAUUUUUCAGUUCCCAUGGCACUAACGGUCUAACUAGAGUUCUUCAGCUACUGAAUGUGUCCAUCCGGAGUGGCCUGGGCCUUGCUAGAAAUGUGGGAAGGGGUGUGCCUAAGCCUGCAGUCUUGAUGCACCAGGGUAGGGGAUACCCAUGGUGUGGGGAUACCCAGGGUGGGGCCCCAUUCUCUCAGAAGGGAAGAGGAGGAGGGCAGGGGAGGGACUCUGUGUGUGUGUGGGACUGAGAGGGAGGGACAAUGUCUGGGAAGUAAAUUAAUUAAUAAAAAGAAAAGCAGACUCUUGGAGCUGGAGGUGGAGCCUAGUGAUGGAGUCUGUGUUUAGCCAUGUGUGGGCCUCUGAAGAUGAUGAGGGGGAAGGGAGGACGGGGAAGGAGGGAAGAAGGCAGCAAGGAGAAAAGGUCAGGAAAUGCAGAUUCUAAACAGGUUGCCAAUUACUAUAAUUUGCAUUGGAUUCACUUGGUCCAGCCUUCAACAGCCUUGGCAGGUAGUUAUGAGGGGCGACUAAAGGCUAGAAGCUCUGCUCUGCAGCCCUGCUGCUCCGGUGCCUGGUGACCAGACCAGACCAGCAGUCCCGAACCUGGACCUGGUUCCUGGACCUUUGGAGAGUUGAAGAUCUAGGCCCCACCUCAAAGCAGCUGAAAGUGACUUCCUUGAGUGUGGGGCCCAUCGAGGAAAACAAACAAACUCCAAGGAGCUUCAUCUGCACCCAAGAGUGAGAACCACUGAUCUAAUUAGCAUCUAAUUAGCAUCCGAUUAUGCCUUCUCAUUCUGCAGUAGGUAUUUGUCUCUCCCACAAGGUGGGACCGGAGGGCAAGAGACCAGUUGGUUGUGGCUGGGUGCUGACCCUCUUCUAAGCCCCUGGAGACAGAUGUCCUAGGAUCACUGGUGAGCUUCGGAUUCCUUUCCCAGUUCUGAAAAGCACGUGGGUGGUGGGGAGGAGGGGAAGGGAGCAGGGAGAGGACGUUUCUCCUGGGUCUUGGGUUGAGUCUUGAGGGGUGGUAUGCUCCCAUUCUUAAGUCAGAAGUCAUCCUUACCAUGUAGUUUUGUUAUCU